UACUACAGGAAUUGUCAAUAGGAAUUGUACACAAAAAUGGUUACACACGAAGCCUAUGUAUUUUAUGUACACGGCGGCUACAGGAUUAGAGCCGGUUAUAGUCAUCAUCAAUUCUGAGCCUGGAACCAUCAUGGGGAGCCAAUGUACAGACUGAUUGCCUCACUGAAGGUCAAAGGUCACUCCCUCAUCAGGCAAAGGCUUCCUGAUAUAUUCCGGAGUUACCAAGGUUACAUUGAAGUUAGACUGAUCGACCUCAGUACCAGGAUAAACUUGGGCCCAAAUACUUGCCAUUCUGAACUGGGAUUGUAAUGUCUUUAUCAAGGCAAGAUGCCAUUUUUAUACAGAAUUACAUGAACAUGUAAAUCAGU